CGGGGCGUGGCUCAGCCUGGUAGAGCGUCUGCUUUGGGAGCAGAAUGUCGCAGGUUCGAAUCCUGUCGCCCCGACCA
rnacentral:tRNA from 1 species